rnacentral:rRNA from 1 species
GACGAACGCUGGCGGCGUGCUUAACACAUGCAAGUCGAACGGAGUGGCGAAAGGGUGAGUAAAACGUGGGUGAACUGCCCUGCACUUCGGGAUAAGCCUGGGAAACUGGGUCUAAUACCGGAUAGUGUGGGAUGGGUCCGCGGCCUAUGAGCUUGUUGGUGGGGUAAUGGCAUACCAAGGGGGCGACGGGUAGCCGGCCUGAGAGGGUGGACGGCCACAUUGGGACUUAGACACGGCCCAGACUCCUACGGGGGGAAGCAGUGGAGAAUAUUGCACAAUGGGCGGAAGCCUGAUGCAGCGACGCCGCGUGGGAGAGGUCGGCCUUCGGGUUGUAAACUCCUUUCACCAUCGACGCGGUAGAUGGAGAAGAAGCACCGGCUAACUACGUGCCAGCAGCCGCGGUAAUAC